rnacentral:rRNA from 1 species
AUUGAACGCUAACGGCGUGCUUAACACAUGCAAGUCGAGCGGCAGCAUGACUGUAGCAGUACAGUUGAUGGCGAGCGGCGGACGGGUGAGUAAUGCAUAGGAAUCUGCCUUGUAGUGGGGGAUAACCCGGGGAAACUCGGGCUAAUACCGCAUAAUCUCUACGGAGCAAAGUGGGGGACCUUAGGGCCCUACGCUAAAAGAUGAGCCUAUGUUGGAUUAGCUAGUUGGUAGGGUAAAGGCCUACCAAGGCAACGAUCCAUAGCUGGUCUGAGAGGAUGAUCAGCCACACUGGGACUGAGACACGGCCCAGACUCCUACGGGAGGCAGCAGUGGGGAAUAUUGGACAAUGGGCGAAAGCCUGAUCCAGCAACGCCGUGUGUGUGAAGAAGGCCUUCGGGUUGUAAAGCACUUUUAGUGGGGAAGAAAAGUUCAUGGCUAAUAUCCAUGAAUGCUGACGUUACCCACAGAAAAAGCACUGGCUAACUCUGUGCCAGCAGCCGCAGUAA